rnacentral:rRNA from 1 species
CCUGGCCUUGACAUUGAAAGAACACUUUAGAGAUAGAGUGGUGCUAGUUUACUAGAGCUUGAAAACAGGUGCUGCACGGCUGUCGUCAGCUCGUGUCGUGAGAUGUUGGGUUAAGUCCCGCAACGAGCGCAACCCUCGUGUCUAGUUGCUAACAGUUCGGCUGAGGACUCUAGACAGACUGCCUGGGCAACCAGGAGGAAGGUGAGGACGACGUCAAGUCAUCAUGGCCCUUACGGCCAGGGCUACACACGUGCUACAAUGGGGUAUACAAAGAGCAGCGAUACCGCGAGGUGGAGCAAAUCUCAUAAAAUAUCUCCCAGUUCGGAUUGUACUCUGCAACUCGAGUGCAUGAAGUUGGAAUCGCUAGUAAUCGUAGAUCAGCAAUGCUACGGUGAAUACGUUCCCGGGUCUUGUACUCACCGCCCGUCACACCAUGGGAGUUGAAUUCAUUCGAAGCGGGGAUGCUAAACUGGCUACCCUCCACAGUGGAUUUAGUAACUAGGGUGAAGUCGUAACAAGGUAAAGCCGAAUU